AAGCCAUGCAUGUCUAAGUAUAAGCAAUUAUACCGCGAAACUGCGAAUGGCUCAUUAUAUAAGUUAUCGUUUAUUUGAUAGCACAUUACUACUUGGAUAACCGUGGUAAUUCUAGAGCUAAUACAUGCUAAAAAUCCCGACUCCGGAAGGGAUGUAUUUAUUAGAUUAAAAACCGAUGCCCUCUGGGGCUUACAGGUGAUUCAUGAUAACUUCUCGAAUCGCAUGGCCUUGCGCNGGCGAUGGUUCAUUCAAAUUUCUUCCCUAUCAACUUUCGAUGCGAAGGUCUUGUCUUCGCAUGGUUACAACGGGUAACGGAGGGUUAGGGCUCGAUCCCGGAGAAGGAGCCUGAGAAACGGCUACUACAUCCAAGGAAGGCAGCAGGCGCGCAAAUUACCCAAUCCCGACACGGGGAGGUAGUGACAAAAAAUACUGAUACAGGGCUCUUUUGGGUCUUGUAAUUGGAAUGAGUACAAUUUAAAUCCCUUAACGAGGAACAAUUGGAGGGCAAGUCUGGUGCCAGCAGCCGCGGUAAUUCCAGCUCCAAUAGCGUAUAUUAAAGUUGUUGUGGUUAAAAAGCUCGUAGUUGAACCUUGGGCCUGGCUGGCCGGUCCCCCUCACCGGGUGCACUGAUCCAGCCGGGUCUUUCCCUCUAUGGAACCCCAUGGCCUUCACUGGUCGUGGCGGGGAAGUAGGACUUUUACUUUGAAAAAAUUAGAGUGCUCCAGGCAGGCCUAUGCUCGAAUACAUUAGCAUGGAAUAAUAGAAUAGGACGCGUGGUUCUAUUUUGUUGGUUUCUAGGACCGCCGNAAUGAUUAAUAGGGACAGUCGGGGGCAUCAGUAUUCAAUUGUCAGAGGUGAAAUUCUUGGAUCUAUUGAAGACUAACUACUGCGAAAGCAUUUGCCAAGGAUGUUUUCAUUGAUAAGGAACGAAAGUUAGGGGAUCGAAGACGAUCAGAUACCGUCGUAGUCUUAACUAUAAACUAUGCCGACUAGGGAUCGGACGAUGUUAUUUUUUGACUCGUUCGGCACCUUUCGAGAAAUCAAAGUGCUUGGGCUCC
rnacentral:rRNA from 1 species